UGCGACCCCCCUGGCGUCUGGCCCCUGGCCCGCACUGCCCGCUGCCCGUUGACCUGCUGACGUGGCAAAGGGGCCAGACGCCAGGGACCCUGGCGUCUGGCCCUGGUAAAUGGAUAACCCCCGCGGGCCGAGCCCAACCACCCAUCUCUUUUCCUCUCCUGGCGGCGCACGAACAAACGAACAGAGGGCUUCUCUCCUUCGCCCCUCUUCUCCCUCACACCAAAUCCCCCCUUGAUCUACUCCAUCCUCCAUCUAAAUUUGUGGAUCUGAGGCCCCCAAGCAUCCUUGAGGAUGGCGGAUGGUGAUGGACCUUGGUAUGACGGAUUAAUCGAUGAGUGGGAUAAGGAGCAUCGUGCUCGUGCCAUUGAGAACGGACAUCUUGUAGUUGCUAUGCGCAUGAGGGGACAUUCGGCUGAUGACUUUACUUACGACCCGCGGUACGAGCCUUAUAUUCGGAGAUUGGGUCUUCUCCCAUUCGUGUUGCAGUUUAAGCGACGCGCUCCGCCGGUGAACCACGCGGCGCUGACCGCACUUGUGGAUCGUUGGAGGCCGGAGACUCACUCGUUCCACCUUCCAUUUGGGGAGAUGACGAUGACCCUUGAGGACAUGGCUAUGAUAAGCGGCCUUCCUAUCAACGGACAAGCUGUUACCGGUCGUGUCAGUGCCGUUAAUUGGCGAGAACGGACUGGCAUUUUAAUUGGUGU